GGCGUGCUGACAACCAGUGUACUCUGUUAUCACUAACUGUUGAGUAAUUACAGGCAGUUACCUCUACACAGGUGUUUAAUAAUGAUAAUACACGUAAAAUUACCGGAUAUAUCAGUCAAUUCGUGAUUACAUUCAAAAUCGGUUUUUGUAGUAUAUAUCUAAGUAUGUUCUAUAAUUGAGAACCACAAGUUACUGCAGUGAAUCCCCU
rnacentral:lncRNA from 1 species